AAGUCGUAACAAGGUAACCGUAGGUGAACCUGCGGUUGGAUCAUUAAUAAAAGUUUAUUUUUUUUUAAAAAAAAAAAAACAAACAUUAUGUGAACUGUUUUUGGUAGUACGUAUGUGCGCAUUUGUUAGAUUUGAGUAAGAUUUUCAACUCCUUACCCAUUUCUCUCAUUUGCCAUUUUUUUCCUUGGAAAAACCGCGUACUACCAACGGUCAGGCUGACGCUUUUCACUAAGUGGCAGCCUGCUCGUUAACCCACCAUUUUAUCAUUUGUCUGAAACCUUAAAAAUGCAUUAUAUUGAAAGAUAUGUGCAAAUUUAAUAAAUAAACAACUUUUGACAACGGAUCUCUUGGCUCUC
rnacentral:misc_RNA from 1 species